rnacentral:rRNA from 1 species
UAAGGAAUAUUGCUCAAUGGGAGAAAUCCUGAAGCAGCAACGCCGCGUGGAGGAUGAAGGGUCUAUGACUUGUAAACUCCUGUAAAGAAGGAAAAAAUUCCCAUUUGAUGGGAGAUGAUGGUACUUCUGGAGUAAGCCCCGGCUAACUACGCCAGCAGCCGCGGUAAUACGUAGGGGGCAAGCGUUGUCCGGAUUUACUGGGUGUAAAGGGUGCUCAGGCGGAUUUGUAAGUCAGAGGUGAAAUCUUACAGCUUAACUGUGAAACUGCCUUUGAUACUGCAAGCCUAGAGUAUGGAAGAGAGUGAUGGAAUAUCUGGUGUAGCAGUGAAAUGCGUAGAUAUCAGAUAGAACACCAAUGGCGAAGGCAGUCACUUGGUCCAUUACUGACGCUAAAGCACGAAAGCGUGGGUAGCAAACA